UCAGGGACGAAAAAAUACGGUACCUGAAAAGAAAGCUCCGGCUAACUACGUGCCAGCAGCCGCGGUAAUACGUAGGAGCGAGCGUUGUCCGGAUUACUGGGUGUAAAGGGUGCGUAGGCGGGUUUGCAAGUCAGACUGAAAUACCGAGGCUUAACCUCGGGGCUGCGUUUGAAACUGUAGAUCUUGAGUGAAGUAGGGCAAGCGGAAUUCCUAGUGUAGCGGUGAAAUGCGUAGAUAUUAGGAGGAACACCAGUGGGAAGGCGGCUUGCUGGGCUUUAACUGACGCUGAGGCACGAAAGCAUGGGGAGCAAACAGGUUAGAUACCCUGGUAGUCCAUGCCGUAAACGAUGAUAGCUAGGUGUGGGGGGACUGACCCUUCCGUGCCGGAGUAAACACAAUAAGCUAUCCACCUGGGGAGUACGACCGCAAGGUUGAACUCAAAGGAAUUGACGGGGGCCCGCACAAGCAGUGGAGUAUGUGGUUUAAUUCGAAGCAAGCGAAGAACCUUACCAGGUCUUGACAUCCGACUAACGAAGCAGAGAUGCAUCAGGUGCCCUCGGGGAAAGUCGAGACAGGUGGUGCAUGGUUGUCGUCAGCUCGUGUCGUGAGAUGUUGGUUAAGUCCCGCAACGAGCGCAACCCUUGUCCUUAGUUGCUACGCAAGAGCACUCUAAGGAACUGCCGUUGACAAAACGGAGGAAGGUGGGGACGACGUCAAAUCAUCAUGCCCCUUAUGACUGGGCUACACACGUACUACAAUGGUCGUCAACAGAGGGAAGCAAGGGAGCGAUCCGGAGAAACCCCUAAAAACGAUCCCAGUUCAGAUUGCAGGCUGCAACUCGCCUGUAUGAAGACGGAUUGCUAGUAAUCGCGGAUCAGCAUGCCGCGGUGAAUACGUUCCCGGGCCUUGCACACACGCCCU
rnacentral:rRNA from 1 species